UUUCACCCAUAAUUCUUUUCUCCUUCCUCUCUCUUCACUCUCUCUUUCUCCAUAACCGCCGCCUCUCCACCGCCGCCGAAAAUCGCCCACCGGCGGCCGUCCACCUCCAAAUCACCCAAAAAUCGCACCAUACAAUCUCCACAUUCUCCUCUUUACAUAUCUAUAAACCAAAUCCUUAACAAAACCCUCAAACUCCUUGAAUUUUAGAUCUAGGAAACUUAAGCCGCAACUUUUUUGCCCAAAUUCUUGAAGUUCCGGCCACUAACACCCCACAAUACCUACAUCAACGGAUAGAGCUCCUCAAUACCUACCUAUUGAUGUCAAUUCUACACCAAAAAUCCGGCGACCAAAAGUCCGGCCAAAUUCCGGCGACCUCCCCGAACGCCCUCGUUUGGCAUGCCACCAUUUUUCGGCCACUUGAAAUUUAAAAUGGUAAUUCUCUCAAAGCGCUACUGUAAUUUUGAGUCAAGAACGAAUAGGAAUGAAGCAGAUUUAAGUAUUAUUCAGCUUCUUUUUGAGCUUUAAAUAUCUUGUUUUGUGUAGGAUUUUGUAUGUAAGCAUGUGUAAUGAAUGUUGACCUUCUUGUUUAAUUGUGGUUGACACCAUAUUUUAAAAUAUUUUGGCUCAUAGCUCGUUGUCUUUUUCUUGUCCGUUGCAAUGUAUAUUUGAGGCCGGAAGAUUAUCUCGUAUUUUAACCUAAUGCAUGUUUCAUGAAAAGGAAAUAUGAUUUCUUUUAAUUUUA